AAAAUCACGCCUCUGCACCACCACAACACCACCACAACCUUCUUCCCCAAAUCCGCUACCUACAACCACAUUGAAAAUGGUGGACGUAACGAACAACAAAAAGAAAUAUACAUAGACGGAGGCGGCGGAUCUAUUAAUCGGCGGCGGAGAGAUCUCCAGUGAGGUAGGGUCGCCGAUGGAGUGUCUCCAGUGAGGUAGGUCGCCGCUUGGAGUAGCCUGUGAUGAUUGGCCAGCGAUGGAUGGGGGAGUGCGCUGCCAUGGAGGUGACAUCCAUGGCAGACGCAACAAAGUUGAAGGGGUCUGGGGUAAGGUGUGGCGGAGGAACUAGGCGGUGUCGAGGAGAGGAAUUUGAACGAGGGGUGGGCGGCGGUGAUGCAAGACAACGGCAGUGUCGAGGGAGAGAUAUUUUGAGGAGUGGUGGGUGUCGGAGGGCCAGACGGCGGCGGUGCUGAAUUUAUUAAUGGCUGGGAGGUGGGCCGACGGAACUAGGGAAGAAGGUGUGAACUUUGAAAAUUACAAUUUGGUCCUAUAAAUUUAGGUUAUUUAUAAUUAAAUCAAUUUGAAUUUUUUUCCUUUAUAAAGG
rnacentral:lncRNA from 1 species